UACGGGGGGGGCAAGCGUUGUUCGGAAUUACUGGGCGUAAAGGGCGCGUAGGCGGCUUUUCAAGUCGGGCGUGAAAUCUCCGGGCUUAACCUGGAAGGGUCGUUCGAUACUGUCGAGCUAGAGUGUGGAAGAGGCUACUGGAAUUCCGUGUGUAGCGGUGAAAUGCGUAGAUAUACGGAGGAACACCAGCGGCGAAGGCGGCAUCCUGGACUGGUCCUGACACUCAUGAGCGAAAGCGUGGGGAGCGAUCCGG
rnacentral:rRNA from 1 species